UAGCUCAUUGGAUAAAGAAUCUGCCUGCAAUGCAGGAGACCCAGGUUCAAUUCCUGG
rnacentral:tRNA from 1 species